UGAGGAGAGAUGGGGUUCGACUCCGCCUCAGCCAUCCUGGAAGUGGUUUUCCGUAGUUUCCCACUUCCUUCUGGACAAAUGCCGGGAUGGUUUCAUGCAUAAUGCCACGGCCGUCUCCAUGCCUUCCUUACUCUAUCCCUUCCUUCACCUUUCUUUAAGACGUCUCAUCGGCUGAUUACCUGGGUGAUUGGGUGAUCUCCAUCCCCAGCUGUAUCCAGAUCCAGUGAAUUCACCUCCUAGAC
rnacentral:rRNA from 1 species